AUUAAACGCUGGCGGCAUGCCUUACACAUGCAAGUCGAACGGCAGCACGGGGGCAACCCUGGUGGCGAGUGGCGAACGGGUGAGUAAAGCAUCGGAACGUGCCCUGGAGUGGGGGAUAACGUAGCGAAAGUUACGCUAAUACCGCAUAUUCUGUGAGCAGGAAAGCAGGGGAUCGCAAGACCUUGCGCUCUGGGAGCGGCCGAUGUCGGAUUAGCUAGUUGGUGGGGUAAAGGCCUACCAAGGCGACGAUCCGUAGCGGGUCUGAGAGGAUGAUCCGCCACACUGGGACUGAGACACGGCCCAGACUCCUACGGGAGGCAGCAGUGGGGAAUUUUGGGACAAUGGGCGAAAGCCUGAUCCAGCCAUGCCGCGUGAGUGAAGAAGGCCUCGGUU
rnacentral:rRNA from 1 species